UACGGAGGGUGCAAGCGUUAUCCGGAUUCACUGGGUUUAAAGGGUGCGUAGGCGGCUAGGUAAGUCCGUGGUGAAAUCCUGCAGCUUAACUGCAGAACUGCCAUGGAUACUAUUUAUCUUGAAUGUCGUGGAGGUUAGCGGAAUAUGUCAUGUAGCGGUGAAAUGCUUAGAUAUGACAUAGAACACCCAUUGCGAAGGCAGCUAACUACGCGAUAAUUGACGCUGAGGCACGAAAGCGUGGGGAUCAAACAGG
rnacentral:rRNA from 1 species